GUGGAGUGUGUUGAGUGUGUUGAGUGUGUGUGUUGAGUGUGUGUGUGGAGUGUGUUGAGUGUGUUGAGUGUGUGUGUGGAGUGUGUGUGUGGAGUGUGUGUGUGGAGUGUGUUGAGUGUGUUGAGUGUGUUGAGUGUGUGUGUGGAGUGUGUGUGGAGUGUGUUGAGUGUGUUGAGUGUGUGUGUGGAGUGUGUGUGUGGAGUGUGUGUGUGGAGUGUGUGUGUGGAGUGUGUGUGUGUUGUGUGUGUGUGGAGUGUGUGUUGUGUGUGUGGAGUGUGUGUGUGUUGUGUGUGUGUGGAGUGUGUGUGUGGAGUGUGUGUGUGUUGUGUGUGUGUGAUGUGUGUGUGUGGAGUGUGUGUGUGUUGUGUGUGUGUGGAGUGUGUGUGUGGAGUGUGUGUGUGGAGUGUGUGUGUGGAGUGUGUGUGUGUUGUGUGUGUGUGGAGUGUGUGUGUGGAGUGUGUGGCUCCUCGGGUAGAAGAUCUCAGACUUAACCUUGAACUUCAGGAGGAAAUUAGAGAGUAAACUGAGAGACAGAGCUCUGGCUCAGAGCAGCUUUACUCCAAAUCCUACAC
ensembl:lncRNA